AACGAACGCUGGCGGCAGGCUUAACACAUGCAAGUCGAACGGGUGUAGCAAUACAUCAGUGGCAGACGGGUGAGUAACACGUGGGAACCUUCCUAGGGGUACGGAACAACUCAGGGAAACUUGAGCUAAUACCGUAUACGUCCGUGAGGAGAAAGAUUUAUCGCCCUUAGACGGGCCCGCGUCGGAUUAGCUAGUUGGUGGGGUAACGGCCUACCAAGGCGACGAUCCGUAGCUGAUCUUAGAGGGUGAUCAGCCACACUGGGACUGAGACACAUCCCGAACUCCUAUGGGAGGCAGCAGUGGGAAAUCUUGGACAAAGGGCGCAAGCUUGCUCCAGCCAUGCCGCGUGUGUGAAGAAGGUCUUCGGAUUGUAAAGCUCUUUUGCCAGGGACGAUAAUGACGGUACCUGGAGAAUAAGCCCCGGCAAACUUCGUGCCAGCAGCCGCCGUAAAAC
rnacentral:rRNA from 1 species